CCAAGCGGCAGAGUCAGUUCCGCUUUGUGUUCGAGCUAGACACAUAAAAAUCGAGGUCGGGUGUAGUACACCCAGUCCGUACUGAACGUGACAAAAUCCGAAUUUUGGAAAAAUAAAAAGUUUUGUUUUUGACUAUUUAUUGCUGGAAAAUAUUAAGAAUACUUGUUGAAAAAAUAGCAACGCGUCGAAUAACUCGAAGCGUUGCUGCUCUGGAGGAGUUAUAUAGAGAAAACGAGGAAGAAAGAAAAAAAGCUAUGUGUAAAGAACACGUAGCGAAAAUAUACUGCGAAUACGGUAAUACUGUGUAAUGCAACUUUUGUAAACUUUAUAUAAUAAACAUUCGUCUUAAAAAAUUA